rfam:Triticum aestivum genome assembly, contig: Triticum_aestivum_CS42_TGACv1_scaffold_112422_2AS
AAAGUACUCCCUCCGUUCCAAAUUACUCGUCGCAGAAAUGGAUGUAUCUAGAACUAAAAUACAUCUAGAUACAUCCAUACCUCCGACAAGUAAUUCAGAAUGGAGGGAGUAACUU